CGAAGCAACGCGAAGUAACCUUACAGGUCUUGACAUCCCGAUGCUAUUUCUAGAGAUAGAAAGUUACUUCGGUACAUCGGUGACAGGUGGUGCAUGGUUGUCGUCAGCUCGUGUCGUGAGAUGUUGGGUUAAGUCCCGCAACGAGCGCAACCCCUAUUGUUAGUUGCCAUCAUUCAGUUGGGCACUCUAGCGAGACUGCCGGUAAUAAACCGGAGGAAGGUGGGGAUGACGUCAAAUCAUCAUGCCCCUUAUGACCUGGGCUACACACGUGCUACAAUGGUUGGUACAACGAGUUGCGAGUCGGUGACGGCGAGCUAAUCUCUUAAAGCCAAUCUCAGUUCGGAUUGUAGGCUGCAACUCGCCUACAUGAAGUCGGAAUCGCUAGUAAUCGCGGAUCAGCACGCCGCGGUGAAUACGUUCCCGGGCCUU
rnacentral:rRNA from 1 species